UACGGAGGGAGCUAGCGUUGUUCGGAAUUACUGGGCGUAAAGCGCACGUAGGCGGCCGAUUAAGUCGGGUGUGAAAGCCCAGGGCUCAACCCUGGAAGUGCACUCGAAACUGGACGGCUUGAAUAUGGAAGAGGGUUGCGGAAUUCCCGGUGUAGAGGUGAAAUUCGUAGAUAUCGGGAGGAACACCAGUGGCGAAGGCGGCAACCUGGGGCCAAU
rnacentral:rRNA from 1 species